UGAGAGACGAGCAGAGCAGACAACCUUUGGAGAGGAGCCUCGCUUUUGAUCAGCGGCCACGCACGCCUAAGGGCCAGGCUGAAGGACCUGAAAAACCAGCUGCCUGAGAUUAUUACUCUCAGCGAGGAGCAGCACAUGAGCAACAAGUGAGCAAGCGUGGAGCCUCCUCCUCUUCUUAACUCUCCUCCUCCUCUUCACAUAACACUCUGAUUCACACAGACACCGCACACACAGAGGCAUUUUUAAACUGUGGGACUGUCACUUUAACAGCACUUGGAAUUUGUUUCUUCUUUGUUAAUCCCUCGUGCCUCCUGCCCCAGACUUGCUGUGACUGUCAGACCUCCACCGGUGGACUAUGCCCCCAUCGGUCAGUUGAGGGAGGGGGCUCUGCGCUGCUCAGGCUCCCAUCUGGAGAAGGCUUGGGCUGAAAUCAAAGAGGAGACGGUUAGGUUAUUGCUGAAGAUGCAAACUUCAACUGUCUCACCUGUGACCAACACUUCAAACACGACCACCACAAAGACCAAAGAACAAAUACUCAUCCAGAGUUCUGGGGCAAUGAUCGCUGUCAUCGUCGUCGGCAUCAUCAUCAUUCUCGCCAUUCUUCUCAUCAUCCUGAAGACGUACAACAGGCGGACACAUGUAUCCAGAGUCCUGGGAGCCAGUGGUGGCUCCAAACCUCGUCCGAAGAUGUCACAAUCCACAGUUCAGAGCAGCAUGCCGCUGAACACCAUAGGAGUCAACUCUGUGUCUGGAAGCAUCCUUAAUUCAAACCCAGCAUCAGAGAACAGCUUCCAGCUUCCCAGAGCGGCGCUGAACAGUGCGGAGGGAAACCACAUAGAGCAAUCGAGCACCAUCAGUGACUCCACUGUGAUCACCAUACAUGAUUCUCCAUCGAUAGGAAACACAUAGCAACAAGAUUGUGGUUUAUUCUUACAACUGGCACUGACUGAUGUGUCCUCUUCAUCCAUGACCAAAUACUGUGUGCUGACUGAAUCCUGUGGAAACUCGAUCUGUGACGUUAGUGUCGUCACUGUCGACCCCCCCCCCCCCACAACUGAGCCACUGCUGGUAACUACAAUGAUAACAUGAUGUCCUUUUGUGUACAAAAAUACACAUCAUGAACAAAACGGUACCAUAAACAGACACAAUGGAUUGCAUGAAGAAUGUUGCAUGAAGGGAAACUGAGGCUUUCUUGAGAAGAAUUGCUUUUUGGCUACAGUCAGAGUGUUCAGAGUAUAGAUGCCAGAUGUUUCUUACGACUCUUUGCAGAUCACUACUAAUACAAUGAGGAAAAUGUGUAGUAAAGACUGUAAUUGUUUGCCUGCAUUGCUCUUAAGUGUGUACAUUUCUGUAUUAAAGACAACUACAUAGGUUUAUGAGUAUAUGUAGGAUUAGUAUAAACGUCUGAGGAGACAAAGACAGUAUGAAAGAAGCUAACUCAUUGUGUAAUGGAUACUAGUAUGUUUCAGGAAAAUGUGCAGAUUUAUUUUGAUUUACCAACAAUAUACCUUAUUAAAUCUGUUUAACCUUGUAUUAUAUUGUCUUUGUCUUCUAAUCACAGAUUUGUUUUGUUUUUUUAAAUCUAUAAAAUGUCACUGUAUUGUUUUUGUACCUUGUAUGACAAAGAGACCACAGAGAUAUUUUGUGAGACAUCUGGGUGACAGCCAAACACGCUUUUUAGUUUGACGUCAAAGGAUUUUGCACUUUAUUUCCAUUGUUCCCUGUAUUUGUAUUGUUUGUGGUUCUUUUCAUGAAAUGAGAUGAAAAUAAAAUGUAAUAUUUCUAAUU
ensembl:lncRNA non-compact myelin associated protein